CAUUUAUGCAUGUCAUUACACGUUUUUAACAUUUAUCAGCCUCAAAGUUUGUCAUGGGAGGCCUCUGUUUACAACAGCUGCAUCACCGAUUUCUGCUCUGUAUGGCCACCGUAGAAAUGUUUUUAUAAAUUGUUAUUACAUUUAAAAAAGAUGAUAAUGUAUCAUGUACUUGUUUGGAUGGUUUUACUAUAUGGGUUUGGGCCAUAUUAUUAAGAG